rnacentral:tRNA from 1 species
UUCCUGGUGGCUCAGAUGGUAAAGAAUCUGCCUGCAGUGCAGGAGACCCAGGUUCGAUCUCUGGGUUGGGAAG